CCUCUCAAGGAAUCUGAAAUUGUCUCCUACAUCCUAGCUGGGUUGAGCACUGACUAUGAUCCCUUGGUGACAUCGAUUACCACUUGUGUCGACCUUAUUUCUAUGGAAGCUCUUUAUGGCCAUCUUCUAACCCAUGAGC